GGAAUCUGAAAGUCCCUGCACCAAAACCUUUCGAUGUCCCUUGCUGCAGAAUGACAGACUCCAUGCUGCUGUGGGGUGGCAUUGAGUUUCAUAUCCAUCCAAACCAAGUGUUGGAAGCACGUGUGGCCCAGUGCCCAGGAUCCUGAGGGCUGCUGAUAACUUCAGCUGGAAGGGUUUUGCUGCUCAGGCUCUCAGUCUCUCCCUGCCUUUAAAUGGCCAUCACCAUCAGAAAACCACAGCAGCCUUAUCAUCGUGAUUGCACAGCACAGCCUUAACUCAUCAGCAGAAUUGCACGUGAGCUCAGAAACAAACCUCCAACUUCCACAGUAGAAAUAACUCAGUUCAACCAACUUCAGCCUUAGCCUGGCUGCUGUGCAGACUGGGGCAGGAUGGAGUAUUUCCCACCCAUCGCCUUCAGCUCUCCUCAGCAUUUCUGUCCUGGUGUUCUGCAGUUAUUGGGCACUAAGUCGUAAGUUUCCUUUUGGUGGUGGUAAGAUGGCAUCACCCCUCUGGGGGCAGAAAACCGGGUGGGAAGAGGCCAGGUGAGUGAUGAGGUGUUGGAUGCCAGCUGAUGGGUAUAAAAGGCACUGCCCAAAGUGCUGUUGGUGAGCCUGCAGCCCUGAAGUGCUGCUUGGAGCCAUCCUCCAGCAGUGCUGGUUGGUUUUGCUCUGACUGGUGUUGGCAGGUCCUGUGGGGCAAGGGGACAGGAGCAGAGGGACCUGCAGGAAGGGGUUUGUUGACUGAUGACCCACACAGUGAACUUCUGGCAGCAGGGAGGAGCUCUCCUUGGACACGCUGAACACUGUGCACCAUCCUUCGUCCUCUGAAGAAGUGUAUUCCUGAGUCUCUUGAUACUGGAAUUACACACCAAGGAGCUGUGAGCACAGACAGAAUAAAAACUUGUCAGGACAUACA
rnacentral:lncRNA from 1 species